CCAUAGCUAUGAAAACCAGAUAUAUUAAUUUAACUUACAGUAUCACCUUAACUCAAAGUCAGAUAUUUAAAACAUGUGGUAUUAAAAUACAUGUGCAGUACGAACAAGCAGUCUCGCCAGUUGAUCAACGUGAUCGGCCAUUUGUUAAGGUUCACACCCAAAGAGAGCGCAUGCGUCAAGGAAGCUAUGGAGUGGAAGUUGCCACUUGAUUAGGAAUUUUUUUAAACGAAGUCGUUCCCAGUAGAUGGAUUAACAAGCUGUGUUCCUUGCUUUAAAACCGUAACACACCGCACUAGCAAGACGAGAGGCGGCACUACAUUAUAAACAGCUUUUCUUCCAGGUUCUUCUUAGCCAUUUAUCGUACUUUCCAUAACGUCUCAGUAACAACAUUCUCCUUACUCCUUCAUCCAUUUUUCAUAAACCAAGUUGGGAG